rnacentral:rRNA from 1 species
UACGUAGGGUGCGAGCGUCAAUCGGAAUAACUGGGCGUAAAGGGUGCGUAGGCGGAUAUAUAAGUUAGAUGUGAAAAGCCCGGGCUCAACCUUGGUCGUGCAUUUAAGACUGUAUGUCUAGAGUUUGUAAGAGGGGGGUAGAAUUCCAAGUGUAGCAGUGAAAUGCGUAGAGAUUUGGAGGAAUACCGAUGGCGAAGGCAGCCCCCUGGUAUAGAACUGACGCUGAGGCACGAAAGCGUGGGUAGCAAACAGG